CCGCGCUUCGCCGCGCCGCGCCGCUUCGCCGAGACCUCAAGCCCCGGCAUGCAGCGGGGCUCCUGGGGCCUGUCGGGAAGGGGCCUGGCGCGCGGGGCCCGCCGGGACUGGGGGUGUGCGGCUGCGCAGACUUGGUAACGCGAGAGCGCGCGGGGAGGGUGUGUCACGCCUCCCGAGACUGGGGCUGUGCGGCCUCACGGAGAAACUGAGGCUUCCUCCUUGGAGGGACCUCAGAAGUCCCAGGCUUCAUAGUGUCAAGUUCAACAGAAAGAGUAGUUUUCAUCUUUCCACAGUUCUUAGAAAAGUCCUGAGACUGAGUUUUACUG
rnacentral:lncRNA from 1 species